rnacentral:rRNA from 1 species
UACGUAGGGUGCGAGCGUUGUCCGGAAUUAUUGGGCGUAAAGAGCUCGUAGGCGGUGUGUCACGUCGGCCGUGAAAACCUGCAGCUUAACUGUGGGCGUGCGGUCGAUACGGGCAUCACUGGAGUUCGGCAGGGGAGACUGGAAUUCCUGGUGUAGCGGUGAAAUGCGCAGAUAUCAGGAGGAACACCGGUGGCGAAGGCGGGUCUCUGGGCCGAUACUGACGGCUGAUGACGGCGAAAGCCAGGGGAGCGAACGGG